rnacentral:rRNA from 1 species
GUAAUGUCUGGGAAACUGCCUGAUGGAGGGGGAUAACUACUGGAAACGGUGGCUAAUACCGCAUAACGUCGCAAGACCAAAGAGGGGGACCUUCGGGCCUCUUGCCAUCAGAUGUGCCCAGAUGGGAUUAGCUUGUUGGUGAGGUAACGGCUCACCAAGGCGACGAUCCCUAGCUGGUCUGAGAGGAUGACCAGCCACACUGGAACUGAGACACGGUCCAGACUCCUACGGGAGGCAGCAGUGGGGAAUAUUGCACAAUGGGCGCAAGCCUGAUGCAGCCAUGCCGCGUGUAUGAAGAAGGCCUUCGGGUUGUAAAGUACUUUCAGCGGGGAGGAAGGUGUUGUGGUUAAUAACCGCAGCAAUUGACGUUACCCGCAGAAGAAGCACCGGCUAACUCCGUGCCAGCAGCCGCGGUAAUACGGAGGGUGCAAGCGUUAAUCGGAAUUACUGGGCGUAAAGCGCACGCAGGCGGUCUGUCAAGUCGGAUGUGAAAUCCCCGGGCUCAACCUGGGAACUGCAUUCGAAACUGGCAGGCUUGAGUCUUGUAGAGGGGGGUAGAAUUCCAGGUGUAGCGGUGAAAUGCGUAGAGAUCUGGAGGAAUACCGGUGGCGAAGGCGGCCCCCUGGACAAAGACUGACGCUCAGGUGCGAAAGCGUGGGGAGCAAACAGGAUUAGAUACCCUGGUAGUCCACGCCGUAAACGAUGUCUACUUGGAGGUUGUGCCCUUGAGGCGUGGCUUCCGGAGCUAACGCGUUAAGUAGACCGCCUGGGGAGUACGGCCGCAAGGUUAAAACUCAAAUGAAUUGACGGGGGCCCGCACAAGCGGUGGAGCAUGUGGUUUAAUUCGAUGCAACGCGAAGAACCUUACCUGGUCUUGACAUCCACAGAAGAAUCCAGAGAUGGAUUUGUGCCUUCGGGAACUGUGAGACAGGUGCUGCAUGGCUGUCGUCAGCUCGUGUUGUGAAAUGUUGGGUUAAGUCCCGCAACGAGCGCAACCC